rnacentral:rRNA from 1 species
UACAGAGGGGGCAAGCGUUGUUCGGAAUUACUGGGCGUAAAGGGCGCGUAGGCGGCCUGCUAAGUCGAACGUGAAAUCCCCGAGCUCAACUCGGGAACUGCGUCCGAUACUGGCAGGCUUGAAUCCGGGAGAGGGACGUGGAAUUCCAGGUGUAGCGGUGAAAUGCGUAGAUAUCUGGAGGAACACCGGUGGCGAAGGCGACGUCCUGGACCGGUAUUGACGCUGAGGCGCGAAAGCCAGGGGAGCAAACGGG